UACCAGCACCCCGAGUGGUCGGGACGUUUUAUUGGGCCUAAAGCAUCCGUAGCCGGUUCUACAAGUCUUCCGUUAAAUCCACCUGCUUAACAGAUGGGCUGCGGAAGAUACUAUGGAGCUAGGAGGCGGGAGAGGCAAGCGGUACUCGAUGGGUAGGGGUAAAAUCCGUUGAUCCAUUGAAGACCACCAGUGGCGAAGGCGGCUUGCCAGAACGCGCUCGACGGUGAGGGAUGAAAGCUGGGGGGAGCAAACCGA
rnacentral:rRNA from 1 species